UACGUAGGGUCCGAGCGUUGUCCGGAAUUAUUGGGCGUAAAGAGCUCGUAGGCGGUUUGUCGCGUCUGCUGUGAAAUCCCGAGGCUCAACCUCGGGCCUGCAGUGGGUACGGGCAGACUUGAGUGCGGUAGGGGAGAAUGGAAUUCCUGGUGUAGCGGUGAAAUGCGCAGAUAUCAGGAGGAACACCGGUGGCGAAGGCGGGUCUCUGGGCCGAUACUGACGUGAGGAGCGAAAGCGUGGGGAGCGAACAGG
rnacentral:rRNA from 1 species